AACGAACGCUGGCGGCAUGCCUAACACAUGCAAGUCGAACGAGACCUUCGGGUUUAGUGGCGCACGGGUGCGUAACGCGUGGGAACCUGCCCUUAGGCUCGGAAUAACUCCCCGAAAGGGGUGCUAAUACCGGAUAAUGUCUUCGGACCAAAGCUUUAUCGCCGUUGGAUGGGCCCGCGUUGGAUUAGCUAGUUGGUAGGGUAAAAGCCUACCAAGGCGACGAUCCAUAGCUGGUUGGAGAGGAUGAUCAGCGACACUGGGACUGGGACACGGCCCAGACGCCUGCGGGAGGCGGCAGAUGGGAAUAUUGGACAGUGGGCGAGAGCCUGAUCCAGCGAUGCCGCGUGAGUGAUGAAGGCCUUAGGGUUGUAAAGCUCUUUUACCCAGGAUGAUAAUGACAGUACCGGGAGAAUAAGCUCCGGCUAACUCCGUG
rnacentral:rRNA from 1 species